CUCCUUGGAGAAGCUCUGGGGAGAAAACAGGAGGAGGGGGAUGCACAGAGAGCAAGAUUGUGGCCCUCCUGAGGUUCCCCUCCAAAUCUACCUCCCAUCUUGAGCUCAGGUUUUGCUUUACUUUUUUUUCCCAUCGUGUCCAGAGGUUUGGGGACCCUCCGGGAGCACAGUGAGCCCCAGGCAGCCCUGUGUCAGUGAACUUUGGGGUGCACACAGCAGGAAGAGGGUACCCAGGGCAGGCGGACAAACAUCCUGCAGUACGUCCGCGUGGAGCCAAAGGUGCUUUGGGGACAGAGGACAUGCAAUUUCCACCUCUGUUUUGGUGUAGAAGACAUCUGAAUCCCUAUGUUUGCAGGCAGCACCGUGCCUGGGUAAUAGUGGUGGUUUUAAUCCAUGUGUAGGUAGGUGCGUGUGUGAAGGUAUUGUCAGGCUGCAAGGUGCUGCUGGUCUUCCCUCAAGAAGUCUGUUCUGCUUGACUAUUCUUGCUGAUGUGCAGAAGUAACCUCUUUGCUCACUCUUUGUCACUUCUUGGGCCUUACUGCCCAUUUUUCUUCUUUCCGAAGGACACAUAAAGACUCCAGCUCUGGUGUGGAAGGGAUGAAGUCCUUGCCUUUCGAAAGUGAGCGGGAUGUCCCUGGUGCUGCGUUGGCUCCAUGCUGCUGGUGGAUGUGGCACCUGCUGGGCGCGGGCACAUUGCUGAGAGAUGUUGAUGGGCACAAAGCAUCGCCAGGAGCUGGGGAGGCGGCUCCUGACCACACACAGACAGGAGCCCUUCAUCAUUUGGGGGUUGGACCCGAUGAUCUCUCAAGGUCCCUUCCAACCCCUGCAGUUCUCUGAUUCUGUGAUUUCCAGCCCCAGCUGCCUCUCCCCAUGCGCUCGCUGAAUUGCACGGGACCCAGUUCUCUGUCAUGCAGCAGCACACAGAGCUCAGUUCCAGCAAACCAAGGACAACUGGGGGCAGUCCGGGUUUCCCAUAAGUUUCCAUUGAUGGUGCAAUUAAAAAAUAAAAACCCAGCCCUGGGCUUUUUUCAUGCUUUCCAAGUUUCCUAAAAGGAUCCAUCGCAGAGAAUGAAAAAAGCCCAGAUGGAGAG
rnacentral:lncRNA from 1 species